rnacentral:rRNA from 1 species
UACAGAGGGUGCAAGCGUUGUUCGGAAUUACUGGGCGUAAAGCGCGUGUAGGCGGCGAGAUAAGUCGGAUGUGAAAUCCCUCAGCUUAACUGAGGAAGUGCAUUCGAUACUGUUUCGCUUGAGUGUCGGAGGGGAUGGCGGAAUUCCCGGUGUAGAGGUGAAAUUCGUAGAUAUCGGGAGGAACAUCUGUGGCGAAGGCGGCCAUCUGGACGAUAACUGACGCUGAGACGCGAAAGCGUGGGUAGCAAACAGG